rnacentral:lncRNA from 1 species
CCACCUCCCUCAUCACAGCCACCCAGUGUGAUGCAUUCAGCAUGUGUCCUUGGAGAGAGAGGUAAUUUGAGUUUCCCCUGCUUCUGGAAGUUGUUUGGUUUAAAGCUGUCUUACCUAGCUCUCCUUGAAUGUCUGAUACAUUUUCAUCCUUUAAAAUGAAGCCGAUGGGUGACAGGAAGACGUGCUUCCAUGAAAGGCAGUGUUUCACUCCGGAACCUCAGCUCCCGCACGCUGGAUCCAGAUCCACAGCAUCCCCAGGACCUCUUCUCCCCUCUGGGUCCUGCCCCCAUCUCACUGGCUCCCAUCUCAGAUUCCCUGUGAGGCUCCACGCUUGGCUUCACAUGCAAAGUCUAGGGGUGAGGGGCCCCUCCCAGCCUCUCAGCUGGCAGUCCUGGGCCUGUGCUGGGAAACAUGCCCUCCCCGCCCGCAGCCGGAGGAGCCGCAUGGCUGUCUUGAGUGGAGGUCACACAUCCCCUCCCAGGGCCAGGGGAGGGAACGGUCACAGAUGUUCCUCAUGAGCCAAAAAUAAGCAAGGUCUGGCUGCGGUGCUGUCCACUGCCGGCUCCAGCACCAGGGGUUGCCCAAGAACCCCCUUGACUCCUUGGGGUAAGCAGCUCACUGCUGGCUGUCCUGUGUGUGAUGGGGAAGGGGGACUCAACCCGAGUGUGCAGACCUAUGAUGACCCCCGCUCCCACCUCCACGUCCCAUGGCCACGGCCCCUCCCUUCCAAGCUCCUUCUGCCUGAUGGGCAGCACCCCCUCCCGUCUGGAGUCUGCCGGGGCCCUUCCUGCUCUCCUUGUUAAUUUAUUUUCUGUCUUGGAGGGAAGCUGGGUGCACCUGCUCAGGUGGCCCCCUAGGGCCAGAAGACCUGUCAGUCACUUUCAAAUACAUGUUCUUUCCAGCUCUUCCUUGCCAAAGGUUCUAAAAACACUGUUGUCCGUCUCACCCAAAAAGCUAAGCUUCUGUCCAAUCCUUAACGGUAGCUAUAAAUGAGAAGCAUAAGCUUGGUUUCCUUCUAACAUCCGGCAAGUUAGAAGAUAAAACGUAUUUCUUCACUUAUUCAUCACAUAUUUGCAGGGCACCCCUACACGGGACAGCAGAGGUCCCAGGCCGGUGCUGCACCCGGAGCCAGGCUCGGAGCUGGCCGCGCGCCCUCAGCUGAAACUC